GCCGCCGUAGCUCAACUGGCAGAGCGCCGGAAUGAACACCGUGCCCGACUCCUGAUCUCGGGCGCUCCACAUGCGACACCACGGGGGCACCACCAUGGCCAAGUUCAACCUGAUCCGGCGGCG
rnacentral:tRNA from 1 species